GGAGGAGGGAGCGAGCGAAGGUGAGGAGGGCGUCGGCGGUGGAGGAGGGAGGGUGCGUCGGCGGAGGGAGGGAGUGAGCGAGGAGUAGGCCGCUGCCGCCGAGGGUGUGGGCGCAAGAAGGAGGGGGUUGUGCGGGGCGAGCCGGGGCGUGCGGAUCCGCCGAAGGUGGUUGGUGCCGCUGCCGCGUCGCCGGUGCCUCCUCCCGCCGCCUAGUCGCCGCGGCCGCUACCGCAGGCACCGUCGCCACCUCCCGCGCCGAAGCAAGCCACGACAACGCGCGCGUCGUCCGCCGCCGCGCCGGCCCCGCGCGCAGUCUCAGCUACGCGCACCACCGCCACUUGUUCUGCUUCGGGCACCCGCAGUAGGUGCCGCGCCUGCUGCGGCCGGUGGCGACGAAGCCGAUCUUGAUGCAGGUCCUCGAGUAGCUGUUCCGGGGGGUCCAACAUGGGGGUCGACUCUACUUACUUUAAAAAUAGGGGAAAGUGGCGCACUUUCUUGACGACUAACCUUGCACUUACCUUUUGUUCAGAGAGAGAGAGAGAGAGAGAGAGAGAGAGAGAGAGCACGAAGACGAGCGGGCCCUACGUCGAGAAGUCACUCGAGCUGUUCUACACGAACUUCUUUUCCCGGUAACCUAACAUGUCCUUUUUACCCUACAACAAGAAACGACGAAGUGGAUCGGAACGACGAGUUGGUGCAACGGGGACCAUAACAACAACACCCAACCACGACGACGACAACGUCCCCGUCGUCACAGAGAUUCGUUUGUCCAACAACACAUGGAUGCUGUAUCCAAUUUGACACCCGAAUGAAAAGAAUCCAGUUCCGAGACGAUCUACGGUAGAAAUUCAACCACACAUGGAUGUUUUAUCCAGUAAGCAUGGAUCGAGUUACGAGAACUUCAAUAGAGAUUCAUUUGUAACAAAUGGGUAAUGUAACAAUUAAGGUCAACGAACCAACUAAUAGCAGCAUGUUAUAUUAAGUCUCUUGUGAUAACACAAACAAAUAAGUAUCUUUUGUGAAGUUUCAGACGACUAUCUAGUAUUACCUGAAGGAUGAACCUAUCUACGGGAGUGAGUAUUAAAAAGAUAGAGAUAAAUAAAAGAUGGUUGAAGUGAUUCUAAUCUCUAUACUGCAAAGGAUGGAGAUUAAUGAAGAGAUGACCGAAGUGAAUUUAAUCUCUAUACUACCAUCUAUUAGAACCGGGUGCUCGCCGUGCCGAGUAAAUUGGGUCUCUUCACCUUCCUAAAUCAAAUUCUGCCUGUUUACUAGUACAGGUAAUCGAUAAAAGAUUAAUACUCUAUAUAUCGAGAGACCUAUCUACGUACAAGUGAAGGAAAAACAAAGAAAAAUAAACAAACCGAUGAGAACCCGACGUCACCAUACACUUUACAACGUUGUUUUUACGGCUUAUUACCUUUGGUUCAGUUAAUACACUAAGUCUACAUAGAAAGUCGUAUAGUUAGAAUCAGGUCCACCAAAGGAUGAAUCACGAAACCCUCCCUAUAUACGUAAAACCAAGUAUAGCUACAAACAUCCCACACGGGUCAAAAGUCACGUGACGUCAUGGACAAGUCCAAUCAGCACAAGUCCAAUCACGAAACCCUCUUUAUACACAUACACAAGGUCCUAGGUCAUCCGGUGGAAGAGUAACAACAAAUAUAUACGUGGUUCGUAACCAACGACGAACGAUUAAUAUCAACGGUAACACUAAUUAUUGUCCAUAAAAAUGCCAAAUGAAUUAAAAGAUGGAAGAGUAACGACAAUGAGCGAUCGUCGUCUUUAUAAGUCGAAUAAGUACUCCAUUGUCGUCCCAGACAACGCGACUUAGAAACUCUACUUUGGUUUGGUUUGAUUAUGUAUGGAUCGUAGGCAGGUCUUCAGAACUAAUGCCUUAUAUAUACCAGGGUAAAAUUCAAAGUCUCCUAUACGAGCCAAUAGACAAGAAAACAUCCCUAAACUCUUUUUUCUUUUCUUUUUUGUGAAUAUUAUUCCGUUACCGAAGCACUCUUUCGUGUUCUUUAUAGCAACGCGCCGUCGUUCCGUAUGGAAUUAAACGAAGUACCACUUGACCUUUACACGAAAAUACAGUUUGACUUUUUUUUAUACAACAGACGAUCGUGGCAUUAUACAGGUAGGUAAUUGGUGAUAAAACAGCUUUAUGUCCGGAGACAAAGACCAAUAAUGUUCGAUCCAUCAUAACACCGUCACUAGCCUUUGAAGAUGUGCUGAGUAGUGGUAGUACAGGUACGGGGUCUGAACCCUUCUUAAAACAUCAAGGUGACAACCUAAGGUUCGUCCGUUAAGUACUAGUCGGAACGCGUUCGAUACCUCAAAGUUAUUUAGCUAACUGUCCAUCUCACUGACGACCCCAGUAUUUGCUUCUUUGUUACUUCAGUGACCUGUUGUUUUGCCUAAUAAAUAAGGGUUACAGCAACGAGAACGUUUUAACGUCCGGAUAACCAAUACACCACCAAUACAACCAAAAUAGAAGGCCAACCAACAAUCAGGGGAUGUUCUCAACAGUGUUAUACUUUUCCGAGGUUUUCCACAGUGCCAGUCCUUAGAAAAAAGGUCCGUAGGCCACUACUAAUCCAUUGGUUUGGUAUAGUGUUCUACACACAAACACACCAGACCGUUUCAUUACGAGAAGAAAACACUCUUCUCCCGGUGUCAUGGUUAACCCGUCUAAAACAGUUCCGCCGCCCUUAUUUUCUUAUUGUAUAUGAGUCUAUUCCUAGAGCGGAAGUUCUAAUAUUCCCCUUUAAUAACGAGGGACAGGACAGGUAUGCGAAAUCUUCCUUUAGUGUUCACAUAAAAGAUAUGUUUUGGUAGUACACCAGUAGAUAUAAUGCUUGAUAAGUGUGGUCUAAGUAUACCUUACCGUGAGUACCACCAUCAACUUGGUUUCGAUAGAUAGUCAUACGGAUUGAUACCGAAGCAUCAAAAUCACGUAGGUGACGGUAACACAACCGAAAACGAGAGAUUACAAGGAUGAACAUGAUGACUUGAAUUACAGUUGAUUGAUCGAAAACAUUAUAGUACCGACGUAACUUGAACUACAACGGAAUGAAGACGCCGGCCAAUCAAAAAUAUUAGAGUACUGAAACAACUUGA
rnacentral:rRNA from 1 species